rnacentral:lncRNA from 1 species
CUCCGUGGGUGAGGGAGGAAAGGCGGGGGCAGGGGCCUGUUCUCACCCGGAGAAGAUUGCUCUUGGGGUGGGUGAUGACUGUGCACCCCACCCACUAGGGAAGGCGCUCAGUGAGUGAACGGAAAAAGCCAGCACCCCUCUCUGCAGCAUUCAUUAUUCAGAACUUCCCACAGCCUGAUGCCUGCUAUGGGGGUGUGCGAGGAACACCAGCCAAGGCCAGUUUUGCCUUCUCUGCCUGAGAGGUGGACAGCAAGACUAGUGCAGAGACCCAGAAGGAAGUUGGGUCCAUCUUCCAAAACCCUGGCUCUCCAAAGCUCCAGGUGAUGGGGUUGGCAGGUAUUAGAAAGGGAGCUGGGGCUUUCCAAGCAUUCAGCCCUAAAUUAGUGCUUCUCAAACUUCACUAUGCAUGAAAACCACCUGGAGGGCUUGUUAAAACACAGAUUGCUGGGCCCCAUCCCUAGACAUGCUGAUCCAGAAGGUCUGAAGGGAGGCCCCAGAUUCUGCAUUUCCAACAGUUCCCAGGUGCUAUUGCUGCUGCUGUUGCUGCUGUGGGAUUAUGUAAAUUUAAG